rnacentral:lncRNA from 1 species
CCCAACUCUACAAAAAAAUACAAAAAUUAGCCAGGCAAGGUGUCUCACUACUGGCCCUAUAGUUCCGGCUAAUCAGGAAGCUGAGGUGGGAGAAUUACUUGAACCAAGAAGGUUAAGGCUGCAGUGAGCUGUGAUUGCACCACUGCUCUCAGCCUGGGCUACAGGGCAAGACCCUGUCUCAAAAAUAAAUAAAUAAAUUAGCAUCUGAAUAUUUCAAAGCUGUCAAUGUGUACUGGCUGAACCAAUAGCCACUACUUGAUCCUUACAAUUACAUUUUGUAACUAGCAACAACAAAGUUAAUAGAUUCAAGAGGCAUAUAAAGAAUCUCAUGACUAGAAUUUUCCCCCUUUCAUUGGUGAGGGACAUAAAC